UCAAUGCUGCUUAUUCCNGGUUUUCUACA
rnacentral:piRNA from 1 species